AUUGAACGCUGGCGGCAUGCUUUACACAUGCAAGUCGAACGGCGGCGCGGGCUUCGGCCUGGCGGCGAGUGGCGAACGGGUGAGUAAUACAUCGGAACGUGCCCAGUAGUGGGGGAUAGCUCGGCGAAAGCCGGAUUAAUACCGCAUACGACCUGAGGGUGAAAGCGGGGGAUCUUCGGACCUCGCGCUAUUGGAGCGGCCGAUGGCCGAUUAGCUAGUUGGUGGGGUAAAGGCCUACCAAGGCGACGAUCUGUAGCUGGUCUGAGAGGACGACCAGCCACACUGGGACUGAGACACGGCCCAGACUCCUACGGGAGGCAGCAGUGGGGAAUUUUGGACAAUGGGCGAAAGCCUGAUCCAGCAAUGCCGCGUGUGUGAUGAAGGCCUUCGGGUUGUAAAGCACUUUUGGCGGGAACGAAAAGGACUGUGCCAAUACCACGGUUCGAUGACGGUACCCGCAGAAUAAGCACCGGCUAACUACGUG
rnacentral:rRNA from 1 species